rnacentral:tRNA from 1 species
GCCGCUUUAGCUCAGUCGGCCAGAGCAUCCGGCUCAUAACCGGACGUGCGCAGGUUCGAGCCCUGCAAGCGGCACCA